GAAAAGAAACCAACAGGGAUUGCCUCAGUAACGGCGAGUGAAGCGGCAACAGCUCAAAUUUGAAAUCUGGCCCCCCGGGCCCGAGUUGUAAUUUGCAGAGGAUGCUUUUGGCGCGGUCCCCUCCGAGUCCCCUGGAAUGGGGCGCCACAGAGGGUGAGAGCCCCGUAUGGUCGGAGACCAAGCCUUUGUAAAGCUCCCUCGACGAGUCGAGUAGUUUGGGAAUGCUGCUCAAAAUGGGAGGUAAAUUUCUUCUAAAGCUAAAUACUGGCCAGAGACCGAUAGCGCACAAGUAGAGUGAUCGAAAGAUGAAAAGCACUUUGAAAAGAGGGUUAAACAGCACGUGAAAUUGUUGAAAGGGAAGCGCUUGUGACCAGACUUGCGCCGGGCGGAUCAUCCAGCGUUCUCCGCUGGUGCACUCCGUCCGGCUCAGGCCAGCAUCGGUCUCCGGCGGGGGACAAAAGCUCCGGGAACGUGGCCUCUUCUCAGAGGUGUUAUAGCCCGGCUGCAGAAUACCCCGCCUCGGGGACCGAGGACCGCGCCCUCCGGGGCAAGGAUGCUGGCGUAAUGGUCAUCAGCGACCCGUCUUGAAACACGGACCAAGGAGUCGAGCAUUAGGGCGAGUGUAUGGGUGUAAAACCCGCACGCGUAAUGAAAGUGAACGUGGGUGAGAAGCUUUUCUUUGACGAGAAGCCGCAUCAUCGACCGAUCCUGAAGUCUUCGGAUGGAUUUGAGUAGGAGCCUUAACGCUCGGACCCGAAAGAUGGUGAACUAUGCCUGGAUAGGGUGAAGCCAGAGGAAACUCUGGUGGAGGCUCGCAGCGGUUCUGACGUGCAAAUCGAUCGUCAAAUUUGGGCAUAGGGGCGAAAGACUAAUCGAAC
rnacentral:rRNA from 1 species